ACUGAACGCUGGCGGCAUGCUUUACACAUGCAAGUCGAACGGCAGCACGGGUGCUUGCACCUGGUGGCGAGUGGCGAACGGGUGAGUAAUGCAUCGGAACGUGCCCAUGAGUGGGGGAUAGCCCGGCGAAAGCCGGAUUAAUACCGCAUAUUCUGUGAGCAGGAAAGCAGGGGAUCGCAAGACCUUGCGCUGAUUGAGCGGCCGAUGUCAGAUUAGCUAGUUGGUGAGGUAAAGGCUCACCAAGGCGACGAUCUGUAGCGGGUCUGAGAGGAUGAUCCGCCACACUGGAACUGAGACACGGUCCAGACUCCUACGGGAGGCAGCAGUGGGGAAUUUUGGACAAUGGGGCAACCCUGAUCUAGCCAUGCCGCGUGAGUGAAGAAGGCCUCGGUU
rnacentral:rRNA from 1 species